GUGGCCAUCGUCUUGUGUCCACAUUUAGUCCUCCCA
rnacentral:sRNA from 1 species